CCUUAACUUGGGCAAAAAAUGCUGAAGCCUAAGUUUCUUUACCACAAGACCCGCCCCAAAUUUCCCCCGAUCCAAGCCCAAAUCAAAACACCCGGUCCAGUCUUCUCCAUCAUCAAACGACCCCGUUUUUGGGCCCUUAUCAUCACAGUCGUUGAUCUUAUGUGAUCCAACAGUUGUGAACUGGGAACUAACUUUGUAUAAAGCUGUCCUAACAGCUUCCCCCCCAUUUCGAACUCCCUCAUUCCAGCUUCACCCCUAACUCUAGUUAAUCCACGCCGCCCCCAAAAUUCCCAAACACACCGGCCGGCGACGUAACCCCAAUCGAACCCAAGUUCAUACCACACAAUCAUCACCCACCCCUGUUCCCUAAUUCAUCACAACUUUCCCCAAAAUCCUCACCUAUUUGUCCCAAUUUCAAAUCUGACCCAGAAAUUGAAAACCCUAAUUCGUCCCUUUUUGAAGUUUUAAAUGGAUUUUAAGGUUGAUUUUGAGUCGGAAUUUAUGUCAAUCGAUUGUUCUCAUUAAGAACAAUCGAUUAGCAUCAAUUUCGGCUCGUUUCAAGGCUCACCGAAUUUCAUGCAAAAUCAAAAAGACCGGCAAAACUUCGUCAAGUGCUGCCGUUCGUCGACUCGCUUUGUUGCUCAAAUGUUUCCGGCCAAAACAGUACAUAUUAUUUCCCUCUCUUGUUGUGUCUAUUUCUGUUCGUCUUAUUAUAAUUAGUCCAUUUGUUGUCGACUAGUCUAAUCUUUUAAAAUAAUUUGUUUAGGUUAAUUGUAUGUUAGGAUUAAUAUUGUUUUUUUUUUUCUUGUUUUCUUCUUCUUUAUUUCUAUUUGAUUUUCCGGUUUGGUCUGGUUUAUUUGGUUUAGAUAGUAGUUUUGAAUUAAUAUUUAAAUUAUUAAAGUAUUUUGUUUGGAUGGUUCAUUUGUGGUUCAGAUUUCUCUUUCUUUAUCUUUAUUCCUUUUCUUUUCUUCUUCUUCUUUUUCUUUUGAUUAAGUGUCCAGUUAGCUUUUAGGUCGUAAUCUAGUUUAAUUUCAUUAAAUGCUCAUUUUGCUAUAUUUGGGUCUAUACCUUGGUUUCAUGGUCAUCUCUGGCCUGGGCAGAAGAAGCCCAUUCAUAUGGGCUUGGGUCUUGGGUCAAUUUGACCCAUGGUUGACUCAUUUUGGGGAGUAAAUACCAGACUGUCAGGACGUACUUUGGGAAUUGAGGUUUAGGGAAUAUUUUCGGUUAAGAAAGAAGUUUCUAGAGAAUAAGGCAAGGCUUGCAUGCCAAGAAAGGCAGGGGUCCAAACAUUCUCUUUAAGGGACUUGGGGGGUCAAAAUAAAAAAGGAGGAGUACCUGAACGUGAAUUAAAAACCAAGCUCUGCUGCCAUAAAACCCUUCUAUAAGAAGCUCACUUGCUAAAAUUCUAGGGAAGAUAUCAAAAACCAAAAAAAAAAAAAUAGAAAACAAAAAGCGGCUGAAAAUCUUUAUAGUUCUUUGAGUUAGAUUUCUUUUCUUUGGGAAAAGGUUUCAAAGUGGUAUUUUCUGGGGAUUUUCUAGCUUUCUAAGCUGAAGUGAGGAUUGGUUUUUGAUGCUGUUUGGGUGAACUUUCAUUGCUUCCUUUGCUGUGAACCUGCUACUGCUUUGCUGCUAAUAGCUGACUUCUAGCAAAUUUUGGUUUUGUUUUUGUUGUAUCCAGGUACACAUUCGAAUCCUUGGAAUGGAAGUGAAUGAAAUGAUUCUUGUAACCUUAGAGCUGAUGUGUAAAUGCUAAAUGAAGUUUGAUCCUCAAUUGUUUAAGCUUCAGUUUUCGUUUUAAGUCCGAUAUUUUGUUAGUAGUUUAGUAUUUUAGGAUCUUCUUAGUUUGUUGAUUUCGUUUAAGUAUUUCUGAUUUGCAUGAUAGUCAACAAUUUAUUUUAGUUGGGAAUCCUACAUAUGAGUGCUUAAGUUAGUUUGUCUUCUCAUGUAUUGUUCAUGAUAACUCUAUUUAGAUGUUUCAUUAGAGGAUAUUGGUUAGUAUCUCAUCCAUGUUUGAAAGAUGCAAUGUGUAGCUACUAACUCACUUCAGUUGAAUACCUUUAGAUUUCAACAUUGUUAAAUAGAUCAUAUAUUUGAUGUCAAUAUGGUUACUGCGUAGGUUAAGUCAUGUUUUAAGCUUGUAAUUCAUUAUUAAAGGCAUGCUAAAUGAAUUAGAAGUCUAUAAUCUUAUUAUUCAUGCAUGUUUAGUUUUCC
rnacentral:lncRNA from 1 species